rfam:Triticum aestivum genome assembly, contig: Triticum_aestivum_CS42_TGACv1_scaffold_320611_4BL
CAUAUACUCCCUCCGUCCAGAAAUACUUGUCCGGGAAAUGAAUGUAUUUAGAUGUAAUUUAAUUCUAGAUACAUCCAUUUGUACUCAUUUUGACGACAAGUAUUUUCGGACGGAGGAAGUAUUAU